GCUUGCUUUGGCUGCAGAUACUGCAAUGGGAACAAUGCAGAGAAGAUGAGCACAUCCCUUAUGCAAGGAUAAUACGCAAAUUCAUGAAGUGUCCCAUAUAUAA